rnacentral:rRNA from 1 species
UAAGGGAUAUUGCGCAAUGGGCGAGAGCCUGACGCAGCAACGCCGCGUGCGGGAUGACGGCCUUCGGGUUGUAAGCCGCUUUUCGAGGGGAAGAGGAAGGACGGUACCCUCGGAACAAGUCUCGGCUAACUACGUGCCAGCAGCCGCGGUAAGACGUAGGAGGCGAGCGUUAUCCGGAUUUACUGGGUGUAAAGCGCGUGCAGGCGGCUUGGGAAGUGGUGCGUGAAAGCGCCCGGCUCAACCGGGCGAGGCCGUGCCAAACUGCCAAGCUGGAGGCAGGUAGAGGCGUGUGGAAUUCCGGGUGUAGUGGUGAAAUGCGUAGAGAUCCGGAGGAACACCAGUGGCGAAGGCGACACGCUGGGCCUGACCUGACGCUCAGACGCGAAAAGCAUGGGGGAGCGAACGGGAUUAGAAACCCCGGUAGUCCAUGCUGUAAACGAUGUCGACUAGGUGUGGGGGUGUAACAGCCUUCUGUGCCGCAGCC